rnacentral:lncRNA from 1 species
UCUAAAGCUGUCUAUACAAUGAAGGUAAUAAACAGAAGAAAAAGAGGGUGCAUGCCUUCCACAUCACUAAUGAAGAAAAGGGAAAACAAAUGUCAAAAAAAGAAAGUAUAAAAGCAAAAAAUGGGAGAAAUGGAAGAAAAUAUCACAAUUGCAUCAUGUUGUUCCCCUACAAUACUGGAACUUAGAAAAAAGUAGAAGAGCAGGUAUGAAUUGAGAAAGAAGACAUUGCAACUCAAGGAUCCUCUGUCAAACCUAGAUAUCAUUUAACUACAAAGACUCAAGAAAGCUAUUCAAGGAUAAAUAGAUUAUUAGAUAGAUAGGUAGUUAGGUACAUAAGUUGGUAGGUCGGUAGAUAGACAAAUAGAUUAUGUGGUUCAUAUAGGAGUAUAUUUGUGUAGGGAGCAGGAAAGAAGAAAAAAUACAUCUUUUAAAAAUGCAUGUAUAUAAUUACAGUUAUUUAUGGCAAGUUAUAUUUGUGUACACAUGUAUAAAUCUACAUAUAAAAUCCUAAAUCAAAAGAUAUUUUUGGAACUGUAUCCUCAUCUCUCACCUUCUAAAAAAAUCAACUCAAGAUGGAUGAAGAACUUAAAUCUAAGUUCUGAAACUAUAAAAAUUCUAGAAGAUAACAUCAGAAAAACUUUUCUAGACAUUGGCUUCGACAAAGACUUCAUGACCAAGAACCCAAAAGCAAAUGCAACAAAAACAGGGAUGAAUAGGUGGGACUUAAUUAAACUAAAGGGUUUCUGCACAGCAAUUGAACAGUCAGCAGAGUAAACAGACAACCCACAAAGUGGGAGAAUAUCUUCACAAUCUAUACAUCUGACAAAAGACUAAUAUCCAGAAUCUACAAGGAGUUUUAAAAAAUUAGCAAGAAAAAGCAAAUAAUCCCAUCAAAAAGUGGGCUAAGGACAUGAAUAGACAAUUCUUAAAAGAAAAUAUACAAAUGACCAACAAAUAUGUGAAGAAGUGCUCAACAUCACUAAUGAUCAGGGAAAUGCAAAUCAAAACCACAAUGUGAUAGCACUUACCCCUGCAAAAAUGACCAUAAUCAAAAAAUGAAAAAAGAAUAGAUGUUAGCAUAGACGUGAUAAAACGGGAACACUUCUACACUGCUGGUGGGAAUGUAAACUAGUACAACCACUACAGAAAACAGUGUGGAGAUUCUGUAAAGAACUAAAGGUAGAACUACCAUUUGAUCCAGCAAUCCCACUACUGGGUAUCUACCCAGCAGAAAAGAAGUCAUUAUACAAAAAAGAUACUUGCACACACAUGUUUAUAGCAGCACAAUUUGCAAUUGCAAAAACAUGGAACCAUCCCAAAUGUUCAUCAAUCAAAAAGUGGCUAAAGAAAUUGUGAUAUAUGGAAUACUGCUCAGCCAUAAAAAGAAAUGAAUUAAUGGCACUCACAGCAACCUGUAUGGAACUGGAGACUAUUAUUCUAAGUGAAGUAACACAGGAAAGGAAAACCAAACGUAAGUUUUUCACUCAUAAAUGUGAGCUAAGCUAUGAGGAUGCAACAGCAUAAGAGUGAUACAAUGGACUUUGGGAACUAAGGGGAAAGCAUGGGAGGGGGUUAGGGAUAAAAGACUACAAACUGGGUGCAAUGUAUACUGCUCGGGUGAUGGGUGCACCAAAAUCUCACAAAUCAC